GACGUAGGGCGCGAGCGUUGUCCGGAUUUAUUGGGCGUAAAGAGCUCGUAGGCGGCUUGUCGCGUCGUUCGUGAAAACCCCGGGGCUCAACUCCGGGCUUGCGGGCGAUACGGGCAGGCUAGAGUUCGGUAGGGGAGACUGGAAUUCCUGGUGUAGCGGUGAAAUGCGCAGAUAUCAGGAGGAACACCGGUGGCGAAGGCGGGUCUCUGGGCCGAUGACUGACGUGAGGAGCGAAAGCGUGGGGAGCGAACAGG
rnacentral:rRNA from 1 species